rnacentral:hammerhead_ribozyme from 1 species
AUCCAGAUGACGAGUCCCAAAUAGGACGAAAUGAACCUUGCCCUGGAU